CAGAGAAUGACCUGAACUUAGCUGUGUUAAGUUACCUGCUUCACAGGAAACCGCCUCUGUAACUGUUGCUUGUGCUUUCUCUUUAGGCAACACCCAAAGCCACUGUCAGAUGUCAUGGGAAUGAGACCUCACAAGGCCUCGUGGCUUACUCCCUCAAGUCAUUCAGGUUUCUGAUCAAAUACCUCCUCAGAGAGCUCUUCCCUGGCCACUCCCUUCAAAGUACUAAAGAGCAUGUUCAAUAUAAGAUUAAUGUAAAAUGAGUCCCAGCUCCAGGCAAAGUGAGUUCAUACCCUUUCCUUUAUUUUUUUCUCUAAUGCCUUUACUCACAGCUUUUAUAUAGUAGCCACUG